rnacentral:lncRNA from 1 species
GGCAUAUGUCUUGUGUCCAAAUGGUCUCACUUAUAAGCCACAGGGAGAAAACUAUAAGCGACAAGAACAAAACAUUAGAAAGUUUAUUUACAACAAAAAAGAAGAAAUGUAUGGAUAAUCCCAACUCCAAGGAAAUUUAAAUCGGAAAGUCCCUAAUCAUAUUGCAACAUUAAAUGGCAAAAAACAUCAAAAACGAGUUGAUAACUGUCAUAUUCCUGACAUGGAACAGGC